AAGGCCAUCACUCAAUGGUAGAGCAUCUGCUUUGCAUGCAGAAGGUCCCUGGUUCAAUCCCUGAUGGCAUCU